rnacentral:rRNA from 1 species
CAGCAGCCGCGGUAAUACGAAGGGUGCAAGCGUUAAUCGGAAUUACUGGGCGUAAAGCGUGCGCAGGCGGUUCGUUAAGACAGAUGUGAAAUCCCCGGGCUUAACCUGGGAACUGCAUUUGUGACUGGCGAGCUAGAGUAUGGCAGAGGGGGGUAGAAUUCCACGUGUAGCAGUGAAAUGCGUAGAGAUGUGGAGGAAUACCGAUGGCGAAGGCAGCCCCCUGGGCCAAUACUGACGCUCAUGCACGAAAGCGUAGGGAGCAAACAGGAUUAGAUACCCGCGUAGUCCCUGUCUCUUAUAC